rnacentral:rRNA from 1 species
UACGGAGGGUGCAAGCGUUAUCCGGAUUCACUGGGUUUAAAGGGUGCGUAGGCGGGCAGGUAAGUCCGUGGUGAAAUCUCCGAGCUUAACUCGGAAACUGCCAUGGAUACUAUUUGUCUUGAAUGUUGUGGAGGUGAGCGGAAUAUGUCAUGUAGUGGUGAAAUGCUUAGAUAUGACAUAGAACACCAAUUGCGAAGGCAGCUCACUACACAAAUAUUGACGCUGAGGCACGAAAGCGUGGGGAUCAAACAGG